rnacentral:rRNA from 1 species
GACGGAGGGUGCAAGCGUUGUUCGGAUUCACUGGGCGUAAAGGGUGCGUAGGCGGUCGGGUAAGUCUGAUGUGAAAUCUCACAGCUUAACUGUGAAACUGCAUUGGAUACUAUCCGGCUCGAGGAAUGGAGGGGAGACUGGAAUACUUGGUGUAGCAGUGAAAUGCGUAGAUAUCAAGUGGAACACCAGUGGCGAAGGCGAGUCUCUGGACAUUUCCUGACGCUGAGGCACGAAAGCCAGGGGAGCAAACGGG